rnacentral:rRNA from 1 species
UACGAAGGGGGCUAGCGUUGCUCGGAAUCACUGGGCGUAAAGGGUGCGUAGGCGGGUCUUUAAGUCAGGGGUGAAAUCCUGGAGCUCAACUCCAGAACUGCCUCGAUACUGGAAGACUCGAGUCCGGGAGAGGUGAGUGGAACUGCGAGUGUAGAGGUGAAAUUCGUAGAUAUUCGCAAGAACACCAGUGGCGAAGGCGGCUCACUGGCCCGGUACUGACGCUGAGGUGCGAAAGCGUGGGGAGCAAACAGG